AGGAGAUAUCACGUUGGUACUGCUGGAUCUAGUCGUGGGCGGUAUGCUGCCGAGGAACAUGGAUCACGGAACCAGGUGGGAGAUUUGGCAGCUCUACCAGGCGGUCAUCAGGAUAUCCUCUUCAGAGAGCCAAGGCCUGAGAACACAUCUGUGGGCCAUUAUAUACCACGUGGUUGGUUGUGUAUGUGUGUGUGUGUGUGUGUGUGUGACUGUAAGACUUCCCCCUAACUACCAGUAAGACAAGUUUGAAACAAAGCUAACAGUAUUCUCCAUCUCUUGCUCUCAUUACACCUCUUUAUAAAUGUACUUUGUGUUAGAUUAUAGCAACAUGUAAGAGGAAAUCAUUUAUAACACAGGGCGAGGAAUUUCCCACAACAGCUUAACUUUCUGUUGUAAAUGUCAUAAAGCUGCUAUUCAGCAAAGCCUUCUGACUUUAAUUCAAAACUCAUGGGAUCAUCAGUCAAACAAUCUAUCGUUAUGUAAGUGUAGCAUUUAAACAUGUACAAAUAAUAAAUGCAUUGUUUUUGAUUCAUUA